AAUCUUGCGCAAUGGGCGAAAGCCUGACGCAGCCAGGCCGCGUGAAUGAUGAUUGUCUUAGGAUUGUAAAAUUCUUUCACCGGGGACGAUGAUGACGGUACACGGAGAAGAAGACCCGGCUAACUUCGUGCCAGCAGCCGCGGUAAUACGAAGGGGGCUAGCGUUGCUCGGAAUUACUGGGCGUAAAGGGCUCGUAGGCGGACAUUUAAGUCAGGGGUGAAAUCCCAGAGCUCAAAUCUGGAACUGCCUUUGAUACUGGGUGUCGUGAGUGUGAGAGAGGUAUGUGGAACUCCGAGUGUAGAGGUGAAAUUCGUAGAUAUUCGGAAGAACACCAGUGGCGAAGGCGACAUACUGGCUCAUUACUGACGCUGAGGCGCGAAAGCGUGGGGAGCAAACAG
rnacentral:rRNA from 1 species